rnacentral:tRNA from 1 species
GGGGAUUUAGCUCAGUGGCUUAAGUGCCUGCCUGGCAAGCAUGAGGUUGAGAGUUCAAUCUCCA